GCAGGUGUAGCUCAGAUGGAAGAGCAGGCGGCUUUUAACCGUCUGGCCGAGGGUUCAAGUCCCUCUACCUGCA
rnacentral:tRNA from 2 species